AACGCUAGCUACAGGCUUAACACAUGCAAGUCGAGGGGCAUCACAGAGUGGCAACACUUGGGUGGCGACCGGCGCACGGGUGAGUAACGCGUAUCCAACCUGGCCCAUACCACGGGAUAGCCCGUCGAAAGGCGGAUUAAUACCGUAUGCUGUCAUUAAGAUGCAUAUAUUGAUGACGAAAGGAUUGGCGGUAUGGGAUGGGGAUGCGUCUGAUUAGCUUGUUGGCGGGGUAACGGCCCACCAAGGCGACGAUCAGUAGGGGUUCUGAGAGGAAGGCCCCCCACAUUGGAACUGAGACACGGUCCAAACUCCUACGGGAGGCAGCAGUGAGGAAUAUUGGUCAAUGGGCGAGAGUCUGAACCAGCCAAGUAGCGUGAAGGAUGACCGCCCUACGGGUCGUAAACUUCUUUUAUAAAGGAAUAAAGGCAUUCACGUGUGGAUGUUUGCAUGUACUUUAUGAAUAAGGACCGGCUAAUUCCGUGCCAGCAGCCGCGGUAAUACGGAAGGUCCGGGCGUUAUCCGGAUUUAUUGGGUUUAAAGGGAGCGUAGGCCGCCUGGUAAGCGUGUUGUGAAAUGUCGUUGCUCAACAACGUCACUGCAGCGCGAACUGCCGGGCUUGAGUGUGCGGAAAGCGGGCGGAAUUUGUGGUGUAGCGGUGAAAUGCUUAGAUAUCACGAAGAACUCCGAUUG
rnacentral:rRNA from 1 species